UUUUUUAAUUAUUACUAGGGUUUGCCCAUAAAUAGAGGGAGAAAAGCCUCAUCAUCGACGAGAAGCCACAUCCACCCAUUCCCGGAGCGACUGCUUGCCAGUAAAUCCACCAUGAGAGCUAAGUGGAAGAAGAAGCGGAUGAGGAGGUUGAAGCGAAAGCGCCGAAAGAUGAGGCAGAGAUCCAAGUAGUAUCUUCUUAUUGGCUAUUCCGUCUCCUUUGAUUUCUUCUUCUUCUUUUUUUUUUUUUUUUUUUUUUCUUUGUUCCUUUUGGUUUCUGUUGUUAGGUUUACUGAAGGCAGCAAUUCGCAAUGGUGCUGUCUUCUGGAUGUUUGAUACAUUUGUGAGAUUUAUUUUAUCUGAAUCUUUAGUUGGAAAUUUUGAUUUUUAUCGAGCACCAUCUGUGCGUCGCAGCCAUGCAUUUCAGGA